GACGAACGCUGGCGGCGUGCUUAACACAUGCAAGUCGAGCGAGGCCCCUCCUUCGGGAGGGUGUCCUAGCGGCGAACGGGUGAGUAACACGUGGGCAACCUGCCCUCAGCUCUGGGAUAACUCCGGGAAACCGGGGCUAAUACCGGAUACGACCUCCACGGGCAUCUGCGGAGGUGGAAAGUUUUUCGGCUGAGGAUGGGCCCGCGGCCUAUCAGCUAGUUGGUGGGGUAGUGGCCCACCAAGGCGACGACGGGUAGCCGGCCUGAGAGGGCGACCGGCCAAACUGGGACUGAGACACGGCCCAGACUCCUACGGGAGGCAGCAGGGGGGAAUAUUGCGCAAUGGGCGAAAGCCUGACGCAGCGACGCCGCGUGAGGGACGAAGGCCUUCGGGUUGUAAACCUCUUUCAGCAGGGACGAAGCGAAAGUGACGGUACCUGCAGAAGAAGCACCGGCCAACUACGUG
rnacentral:rRNA from 1 species